GAUAGGCUAAUUAAGAGCGUAAGGGGAAUGCCUUGGCUCUCAGAGGCGAAGAAGGACGUGAUAAGCUGCGAAAAGUUGCGGGGAGUGGCACAUACAUUAUAAUCCGCAAAUGUCCGAAUGGGGAAACCCGAUUAUUUGAAGAAUAAUCAUCCAUUUAUGGAAGCUAACCCGGAGAACUGAAACAUCUAAGUACCCGGAGGAAAAGAAAACAAUAGUGAUUCCGCUAGUAGUGGCGAGCGAACGCGGAAUAGCCCAAACCUAAAUUGUUUCGGCAAUUUAGGGGUUGUAGGACCACAAUAUUUAUUGCUUAAUGAAUUAGAAUCAGUUGGAAAUCUGAACCAUAGAGGGUGAUAGUCCCGUACAAGUAAAGAGAGUUAAUAAUAGUGGUAUCCUGA
rnacentral:rRNA from 1 species